UUCUCCAACUUUACUCUUUCUCCAAAAAAGCUUUUUACUUUACUCUUUCUCCAGAUUUCUCCAAACAUUAUCGGUGUUACUCUUUCUCCAAACAUUAUCGACGAACUUUAGAUGAAGACUGAAGGUGAAGAAUUGAUAUCGAUGAACUGAGCUAGAGAUUAAAAUGAGAAAUGAUAUCGACGAACUGAACUUUAGAUGAAGAACUGAACUGAAGAAAGGCAAACUGAGCUGAAGAUGAAAUGUUGAAGCUAAAGAAAUGACGGGUGGAAUGAAGAACUGAAGUGUUGAGCUGAAGAUUCCUCCGAUAUCGUUAUUUUCAAGCGCAAGUACUGAUUUCAACAAGUGCAGUGGGAAUUAGAGGCAGAACGAUGAGCUCUGUAGUUUGAAGACGCUCCUGGUUUCUUCUCUAUCCCGAGUUUGUCGCUCCAAAAGAGUGUAAUCAACAUUCAAAAACAUUUGUGGAGGAUUCAAGGUUUGAUUUCGACUAGCACAAGUGUCAUGACUAGGCAGUGAGUAUUAGAGGCAGAACACUGAAGUCUGCAUUUUGUGGUAGCUCCUGGUUUUGUCUCUAUCCCGAGUACCUCUAUACGAGAGAGUUUUACUUAUUACAGUGAAAGAAGUCAAAGAGCGCAAAUGAAAACGAGAAGAAUGAAUCAAUCAACAAUACAAAAGAAAAAGGGUUUGAAUCUAAACAAAGCUCAAAGUCCAUUGAAGAAUGUGAACACUUUUUAGAUUAAGAGAGAACAUGUUGCAAAUGAACGCAAUAACAAAGCUAAAAAAGAGCAUGCACCAAUAGGGAAGAACUUAGUACUUCACAUAUGAUUACAGGGAAAUAUAGAAUAAACCGAGGUUAUUUCAGUCUGGAGAGUCCAUUCAAGAGAAGAAAAUUAAACUUCCUAUGCACAAAUUCGGGUUCCCAAUGUCGUCCAAGGAAGGUGCUACUACUUCUGUACAUGUGACUGGAACAACACUAGGUAAUGAACAGAAAAAAUAGUAUAUUCAGGAUCUAUUAAGUGCAAACAGGUGAAGAGGAAGUUGGUCCUACCGGCCACUACUGCAAAGAAGAUGAUGUUUAUCAUGAUCUACCAAACAUAAAACAAGGAAAGAAGAAUUCAGUCCUACCAGCUACUACUAUUGAUCAGUUUUUAAAACAACAAGGGAUAGUCAUAGGUGAUGAAAGAAAUCUGGUUAACCACACAGAAGCAAAUGUCGAGUGUAUGCAUACUCCUCAUUCUAUUCAUGAACAUAAUAAAAGUUUGGAUGAAUAAGAAGAAAUCGGCAAGGAUGAGUUUGUUAUAGACGAGGGAGAUGAUAUUGAUUGUAGUGCAAAAGGUUUAUCGAAGCAGAAAAAGGUUUGAGGAAAAACAACAUGUAAGAAUAUUCAUGCAAGAAAUUUGGAAGAAAGGGAGGAGGUGACAUUUGAUAAAGGACAAGCAGUUGGUCCUACUGGUAAGAUAGUGUCAGAAUUAACCUAUUUUAUUGGAACAAUUGCAAGGAAUACUAGAUUCAUCAGCUUGAUGUACAUUACUUGGCAUGCGGUGUCAAAAGAUAUUAAAAAGCGCAUGUGGAAAUAAAUCAAUUCUAAAUUCGUAAUACCAAUAGAAAGAAAGAAGUGGGUGAUGACUGCUCUUCGUGAUGCUUGGUGGAAACACAAACAUGUGAUUAAAGAGAAACAUUUUGAUAAAAAUAGUACUUUUGAGGAUAUGCCAGCGAAACGUCCUGAUGACAUUCCAAAAAUUCAAUUGUGCCAGUUGAUCGAGUAUUGGCAACACCCAACUGUUCAAGCCAUAUCUGAGGUGAAUUCUAAAAGCCGGAAACAACAAAAGUGUAGGCAUCGAAUGCGACCGAUUAAUUUUGCAAGAAUACGCUUGGCAUUGCUAAUACUUAUCAGCCAUAUGAAUUUCCUUUUUUCAUACUUAAUUAGAACAUGUUGAUUUUUUCAAAAUUUCUUUUUAUAUAAUUGGUAGCGAGGAUCAAAAGAAAACAACGAGGAACCAUCACAGUCUGAAAUGUUUAUUGCAACUCGUACAAAGACAGGAAAGGAAAUUCAACCCGAUACCACAGUUGCAAUAUCUAAACUUCAAAAUCGUCAAAAUUCUUGAGAAACAAUUGAUGAUGCCUUUAGGGCAGUGUUUGGAAAGGAGAAGCCUUGACGACUUAGGUGUUAUGGCAGAUCAGUGACAACAAGUUCUCUAAAAGAAGAUGAGGAAAUUAACAAGAUAAAACAAAAGCAUGCUAAUGAAAUCAGUUCUCUGAAGGAAGAAAUGAAUGAAAAAAUGAAUGAAACGAGCGAUGAAAUGUGAUAUUGUUUUCUUCAAAAUUGCUGCAAAACAACCCUGGAUUGAAUGUUCAAGAUAUACCGGGGUUGUUGGAUCUAACCUUGUUUCACCGGUUGAUGCAAGUAGAGCACAAGCUCUAAGAGGCCAGAAUAUUCCAAAUUCUUCAGGGUCAACUCAUGAUCCAAUUCUUCAAAAGGGCAGCACUUCAACGAUGUUGAUUUGUGUGGGUGAACGAAGGGAUGGACUCUAUUAUUUUUGGGUGGUACCACAAGCUAUGACAAUAAAGAAUGGGACAGACUCGCUUAAUCUUUGGCGAAAACGUCUAGGGCAUCCUUCAUUAAGGGUUACCAAGUUAGUUUCCAAUGUUAUUUCCACAAAUUACAGUGAGAUGAUGAAUAAAACUUGUGAUGUUUUUAAACGAGCUAAACAGACUAACAAUAGUUUUCUUUGAGUGAAAAUAAAGCUUGUGACGAGUUUGAACUCGUUCAUUGUGA